rnacentral:rRNA from 1 species
AACGAACGCUGGCGGCAUGCCUAACACAUGCAAGUCGAACGAAGGCUUCGGCCUUAGUGGCUCACGGGUGAGUAACGCGUGGGAAACUGCCUAUUGGUGGGGAAUAACGACGGGAAACUGUGGCUAAUACCGCAUAAGCCCAUCGGGGGAAAGAUUUAUCGCCGAUAGAUGUGCCCGCGUCCGAUUAGCUAGUUGGGGAGGUAAUGGCUCACCAAGGCGACGAUCGGUAGCUGGUCUGAGAGGAUGAUCAGCCACACUGGGACUGAGACACGGCCCAGACUCCUACGGGAGGCAGCAGUGGGGAAUAUUGGACAAUGGGCGAAAGCCUGAUCCAGCAAUGCCGCGUGAGUGAUGAAGGCCUUAGGGUUGUAAAGCUCUUUCGGGUGGGACGAUGAUGACGGUACCACCAGAAGAAGCCCCGGCUAACUUCGUGCCAGCAGCCGCGGUAA